rnacentral:rRNA from 1 species
GGACGAACGCUGGCGGCGUGCCUAAUCCAUGCAAGUAGAACGCACAGUUUAUACCGUAGCUUGCUACACCAUAGACUGUGAGUUGCGAACGGGUGAGUAACGCGUAGGUAACCUGCCUGGUAGCGGGGGAUAACUAUUGGAAACGAUAGCUAAUACCGCAUAAUAUUGAUUAUUGCAUGAUAAUUGAUUGAAAGAUGCUAUUGCAUCACUACCAGAUGGACCUGCGUUGUAUUAGCUAGUAGGUGAGGUAACGGCCCACCUAGGCGACGAUACAUAGCCGACUUGAGAGGGUGAUCGGCCACACUGGGACUGAGACACGGCCCAGACUCCUACGGGAGGCAGCAGUAGGGAAUCUUCGGCAAUGGACGAAAGUCUGACCGAGCAACGCCGCGUGAGUGAAGAAGGUUUUCGGAUCGUAAAGCUCUGUUGUAAGAGAAGAACGGGUGUGAGAGUGGAAAGUUCACACUGUGACGGUAUCUUACCAGAAAGGGACGGCUAACUACGUG